UCCAUGGAUUUAAUAAUAAAUAAAUAAAAUUAAAAACCGAAGGCAUAUGCAAAGGCAGUGAUGGGCUCUCCACAAUGCAAGGGAUUGGUAGGAGGGUUCUACAUGGGAUGGGAAGAGGAAGAAUGAGAAUAAAUGUCUUUAUUUUCUCUUUUAUUUGUAUUUUUAUAUUUGUGUUAUUACUAUUCAAAAAGAAAUGAUUUGCUGUUUGAUCUCUGCCUUGCAUUUAGCUAUAUAAAUCCAUACCUCCACUCUCAGAUCCAUGAGAUGCUUGGAUGAGUUGUCUACAGCUAGUGAUAGAAGCUGCCUCCUCUCUUCUCCUCUCCUCUCCUUCCUCCAUUGACCCUUUCUUUGAGCUACCCUCUUUUGAAUAGUCGCUUUCUUCAACCUUCUCUAUCUUGUUCUUUCUCUUAACGAUUUCAAAUUUGGUAGUCCCUUUCAGCUUCCAUCCGUGCAAUCUUUGUCAGUUGCUAUAUGGGGGGUUCAGAUCAGAGGGUUUCAUGGGAUAGAUAUGCGUAAGAAUAUUGCAUCAGUUAGGAACAACAAAUAUUGAGCUAACAAGGGUUUGGUUUUUAGGGUUUUUAUCAUGCUGCAGCCUGUUUUUUUGAAGCUACCCUUGAAAGGCAGCCGCAUGAAGGAGAUAAGCUUACAGAUUCAUCACGCUCCUCGACAAUAGCUUCUUGGGUCUUGCUCGGCAACAAGUUCCUAGAAGGGCUAGACAUGUCUUCCAGAGGUUCAUUUACCGAAAUGUCCUCAAAAUGAGUUUCGAGCAGUGGCUCAGGAGGGAUAUUUUAAAAUUUUAAUUAAUUUAAAGUAAUUAGAAGAGCUCUAUUCAUUUCUUGUUUCCAUCUGAUUUGCUUUAUUUGCUGGAACUCAUUUAUGAGUAGAGAUUGUAUUUUUUCCAGUUUCUUUUUUGGCUAACAAAAGCUUAUCUUGAGUUUCUUCUUCACUUGAGUACUGUAUACAUAGUUACAGAUUGAAACUAUU